GACGACGCUGGCGGCGUGGAUUAGGCAUGCAAGUCGAACGGUAUCAUCCGUUUCGGGGGUGAGAGAGUGGCGAACUGGUGAGUAACACGUAGGUUAUCUACCCUCAAGACGGGGACAACCCAGGGAAACUUGGGCUAAUACCGGAUGUGAGCAACUUUUAGUUGUUUGAAAGGUGGCGUAAGCUGUCGCUUGGGGAUGAGCCUGCGUCCUAUUAGUUAGUUGGUGAGGUAACGGCUCACCUAGGCAAUGAUAGGUAGGCGGCCUUAACGGGUGGUCGCCCACACUGGGAUUGAGAUACGGCCCAGACUCCUACGGGAGGCAGCAGUCGAGAAUAGUCUACAAUGGUCGGAAGACUGAUAGUGCGACGCCGCGUGAGGGAUGACGGCCUUCGGGUUGUAAACCUCUUUCAGCAGGGAAGAAGCGAAAGUGACGGUACCUGCAGAAGAAGCACCGGCUAACUACGUG
rnacentral:rRNA from 1 species